CAAACGACUCUCGGCAACGGAUAUCCCGGCUCUCGCAUCGAUGAARAACGUARCGAAAUGCGAUACUUGGUGUGAAUUGCAGAAUCCCGUGAACCAUCGAGUUUUUGAACGCAAGUUGCGCCCGAUGCCAUUAGGCUGAGGGCACGUCUGCCUGGGAGUCACGU
rnacentral:rRNA from 1 species